GCCCAGGCAACUACAUAGGGAGGUCACAUGGGAGAGAACCAGGGUCCCUUGGCCACCAGCUCCAACUAAACUCCCAUCUGGGAGCCAGAAACGACUUCCAACCGUAUGUCUGAGGCCACUUGGACCUUUGCACCAUCCUAGUACUCCAGCCAAUAACACGUGAAGCAGAAUUGCUCAUUCAACCAAAAUGGGAGGAAAAUGGAAACCACCACCUGCACGAGAAGGAAGGUCAAACUCAGCCAGCCAGCUUGACUUCCCUGGGGCGAACCUGCGUCAAAUUGAACACAAAGAUUUACUUACUCGGACUUAAAGAGGAACCAGAGCCUCCUUCCUGCGGGAAUUGCCACCCUGCUCUGGAGAACCGGGCAGUCACAAGUCCAAAGCAGUGACCACAGUAGCAGUGUCGUUCAUCGGAAUGGCGACUGGAUGUUCUGUGGCUGCACCAGUUUACAUUGCUGCCAAUAGCGUAGGAGAAAACCACCUUCCAUCAACCUCAGUCUGCAGUGGGAAACCAGGUGGAGAG
rnacentral:lncRNA from 1 species